rnacentral:rRNA from 1 species
UACCAUGCAGUCGAACGAUGAACCACUUCGGUGGGGAUUAGUGGCGAACGGGUGAGUAACACGUGGGCAAUCUGCCCUUCACUCUGGGACAAGCCCUGGAAACGGGGUCUAAUACCGGAUACAACACUCUCGGGCAUCCGAUGAGUGUGGAAAGCUCCGGCGGUGAAGGAUGAGCCCGCGGCCUAUCAGCUUGUUGGUGAGGUAACGGCUCACCAAGGCGACGACGGGUAGCCGGCCUGAGAGGGCGACCGGCCACACUGGGACUGAGACACGGCCCAGACUCCUACGGGAGGCAGCAGUGGGGAAUAUUGCACAAUGGGCGAAAGCCUGAUGCAGCGACGCCGCGUGAGGGAUGACGGCCUUCGGGUUGUAAACCUCUUUCAGCAGGGAAGAAGCGAAAGUGACGGUACCUGCAGAAGAAGCGCCGGCUAACUACGUGCCAGCAGCCGCGGUAAUACGUAGGGCGCGAGCGUUGUCCGGAAUUAUUGGGCGUAAAGAGCUCGUAGGCGGUCUGUCGCGUCGGAUGUGAAAGCCCGGGGCUUAACCCCGGGUCUGCAUUCGAUACGGGCAGACUAGAGUGUGGUAGGGGAGAUCGGAAUUCCUGGUGUAGC